GACGAAGGUGGCGAGCGUUACUCGGAUUUACUAGGUGUAAAGCGUGGGCAGGUGGUUCGGUGAGUCUGUUGUGAAAGCUCCUGGCUUAACUGGGAGAGGCCAAUGGAUACUGCCGGGCUUGGAUAUGGGAGAGGUGACUGGAAUUCCUGGUGUAGCGGUGAAAUGCGUAGAGAUCAGGAGGAACAUCAAUGGCGAAAGCAGGUCACUGGACCAUUAUCGACACUCAUCCACGAAAGCUGGGGGAUCAAACAGG
rnacentral:rRNA from 1 species